rnacentral:lncRNA from 1 species
UUGGUUGGGUAUUGAAUAUUUAAUCGGAUUGUGAUUAAGUUAUUGAGGUAACCCGGUUUGAUCUGUAUUGUUUGAAAUAAAAGUCUUUAGGGGUUAAUGACCAUGUCCCGGAUAUCCUUGACAUCAUUGUAUUAUAAAAUGGUCACGUCUUAUGCACGGGGUGUAGGCAUACACCUGACAGCUGCAUAAGGGAAACGGUAUCUCACGCUCAGUGGGCCUAUACUUGUGACGUGUCUGUUAAUCUUGACUCGGUUUCUAUAUCGGGCCCUGAACGUACAACGAACAUGUAAAUCUGUAUACAAGAUCAUAAUUAUGAUUGUCUCAAGUUAUAAAAGAUUAAUUUUGCCUCUGUGCAUUUUAAUCAAAGUGUCAAAAUAAUUUGUGCCUGGUGCAUCUAAAUCAAUUUUCCUAAACUCUUUUCAAAUGAGUCAGUUGAGUGUACAAGUACGUAAUAGGCUGGGAGCUGCUCAGGACAUUAAUAAGGAAUCUUGCAAGUUCUAGGCGUCUAAAGUCUGUUGAACAAUUUCUUUGUUUUGAUUCACCUGUGGAUCCUUUACUUUCCGUCGUAACACUUGAUAUUAUUUCAUAUCCGGAACGUAAUAUAUUUUAUCUUUUGCUUCCGCUGUGCAUUCAUAUAAUUGUGUGGUUUGACUAUAUUGUUGC